GACGAACGCUGGCGGCGUGCCUAAUACAUGCAAGUAGAACGCUGAAGGAAGGAGCUUGCUCUUUCUGGAUGAGUUGCGAACGGGUGAGUAACGCGUAGGUAACCUGCCUGGUAGCGGGGGAUAACUAUUGGAAACGAUAGCUAAUACCGCAUAAAAUUGAUUAUUGCAUGAUAGUCAAUUAAAAGGUGCAACUGCACCACUACCAGAUGGACCUGCGUUGUAUUAGCUAGUUGGUGGGGUAACGGCUCACCAAGGCGACGAUACAUAGCCGACCUGAGAGGGUGAUCGGCCACACUGGGACUGAGACACGGCCCAGACUCCUACGGGAGGCAGCAGUAGGGAAUCUUCGGCAAUGGACGGAAGUCUGACCGAGCAACGCCGCGUGAGUGAAGAGGGUUUUCGGAUCGUAAAGCUCGGUUGUAAGAGAAGAACGAGUGUGAGAGUGGAAAGUUCACACUGUGACGGUAUCUUACCAGAAAGGGACGGCUAACUACGUG
rnacentral:rRNA from 1 species